rnacentral:rRNA from 1 species
AUUGAACGCUGGCGGCAUGCCUUACACAUGCAAGUCGAACGGCAGCACGGGGCAACCUGGCGGCGAGUGGCGAACGGGUGAGUAAUGCAUCGGAACGUACCUUUCAGUGGGGGAUAACGUAGCGAAAGUUACGCUAAUACCGCAUAUUCUGUGAGCAGGAAAGCAGGGGAUCGCAAGACCUUGCGCUGAUUGAGCGGCCGAUGUCAGAUUAGCUAGUUGGUGAGGUAAAGGCUCACCAAGGCGACGAUCUGUAGCGGGUCUGAGAGGAUGAUCCGCCACACUGGAACUGAGACACGGUCCAGACUCCUACGGGAGGCAGCAGUGGGGAAUUUUGGACAAUGGGGGCAACCCUGAUCCAGCCAUGCCGCGUGAGUGAAGAAGGCCUUCGGGUUGUAAAGCUCUUUCGGCCGGGAAGAAAUCGUAUGGGUUAAUACCCUGUGCGGAUGACGGUACCGGCAUAAGAAGCACCGGCUAACUACGUGCCAGCCGCCGCAGUAA